rnacentral:lncRNA from 1 species
GUGAAGGAAUAAAACGGAAGUAUCAGUUUCCUUAACAGGAAGAACAGAAAGAUCAUGUUGAAUUUCUUCCAUAUGCUGAUCUGCAUCAAUCAAAGGUAUUACGUAUUACUUUGAAAUUGAGUAAUUACAUUCACUGCAUUAAAGUUUCCGGAUAAAUUGCUUGACAAAGUUCUUUACCUUCGACCUGAUAAUAUCAGGCAAACAUAGACGAAACAAAUGCAUGGGACCUGAAUGCCAUCUAUGCUGUUGUUUUCUGUAAGCUUCAUAUGAUUCAGGCAAUUCACAUUGGCACUAAAAAUGAGAUUAAAGCAUUAUCAAUAUACGAGAGAUGUCAUAAAAGCAUGCUUAAUUCUUGUGAAUUCCACUCUGCAGGUAAUAAUACCUCUACAUCAUUGAGGAAGAUAAAUUUCCAUCCAUGGAGAUGAGCUCGAACUGCAAUGUCCAUGUCUUCAACUGUCG